AAAAAUGGAGAAAAAGGAAAAUGUGCAGAUGGAAGAAACAUCAUCAUGAGGGCAAAAUGGGGCAUUGUUGUUUGAAGGGAACAGCUCCAUUCUCCAAAUGAUGACUGGAUAUCCACCUGAAGACUGGUUAACGAAUCAAAGAAAUGAGUCAGGAAAGCAAGACCAUGAAUCGUUCUCUGAGGCCAAGUAGCCAUGACGUGAGGUAUGUACAUUGUGCCUGAGUCUCCCCAUGCUCCAUUCAUUUUUCCUGUGGUGAUAGAUCAUGAAUAACUUUAAUUACUUUUUUUCAGUUCAAAGGUCAUGAAAUGAUGUAAAAGCGCCAACAUAUGUCAUAUCCACUGGUGUGAAAUGUGUGAUGCUUUCUGUAAAUUCUCAUUAAACCGAAAAAAUACAGCAGACCACAUGUCAGGGAACUCAUAUACUCUUGUAACAUAGUCACCUUAACUCUGGCAACCAGGCCACUAUUUAGGCCCAAAACGUGUUGGCUAACAAG
rnacentral:lncRNA from 1 species